rnacentral:lncRNA from 1 species
GCUCUGAAAUAGAGGCCUCAACAGUCUCAAGCCUCCGAAGAUAUCACCCACCUCCAUCCUGUUCCACUUCAUCAGAUGCCUUCUUAUCAACUCCAGCCUCCCGAUCAUCUAGUAUCUAACAUCACCCCAAACCAGCAACCUCCAAACCUCCGUAAUAAGAUCCCAAGAUCUAGGAUAGAAGAGCCAAAACUUCUUAAAUCAAAAGGAGCUCUAGUGAGAG